CCUUGACAUCCAGAGGAAACUUGGCAGAGAUGCCUUGGUGCCUUCGGGAACUCUGAGACAGGUGCUGCAUGGCUGUCGUCAGCUCGUGUUGUGAAAUGUUGGGUUAAGUCCGCAACGAGCGCAACCCCUAUCCUUUGUGCCAGCGAUUCGGUCGGGAACUCAAAGGAGACUGCCGGUGAUAAACCGGAGGAAGGUGGGGAUGACGUCAAGUCAUCAUGGCCCUUACGAGUAGGGCUACACACGUGCUACAAUGGCGUAUACAAAGAGAAGCGACCUCGCGAGAGCAAGCGGACCUCAUAAAGUACGUCGUAGUCCGGAUUGGAGUCUGCAACUCGACUCCAUGAAGUCGGAAUCGCUAGUAAUCGUAGAUCAGAAUGCUACGGUGAAUACGUUCCCGGGCCUUGUGCACACCGCCCGUCACACCAUGGGAGUGGGUUGCAAAAGAAGUAGAUAGCUUAACCUUCGGGAGGGCGUUUACCACUUUGUGAUUCAUGACUGGGGUGAAGUCGUAACAAGGUAGGCGUACGUGU
rnacentral:rRNA from 1 species